rnacentral:rRNA from 1 species
AGUGAACGCUGGCGGUAGGCCUAACACAUGCAAGUCGAACGGCAGCACAGAGGAGCUUGCUCCUUGGGUGGCGAGUGGCGGACGGGUGAGGAAUACAUCGGAAUCUACUCUGUCGUGGGGGAUAACGUAGGGAAACUUACGCUAAUACCGCAUACGACCUACGGGUGAAAGCAGGGGAUCUUCGGACCUUGCGCGAUUGAAUGAGCCGAUGUCGGAUUAGCUAGUUGGCGGGGUAAAGGCCCACAAAGGCGACGAUCCGUAGCUGGUCUGAGAGGAUGAUCAGCCACACUGGAACUGAGAAACGGUCCAGACUCUUACGGGAGGCAGCAGUGGGGAAUAUUGGACAAUGGGCGCAAGCCUGAUCCAGCCAUACCGCGUGGGUGAAGAAGGCCUUCGGGUUGUAAAGCCCUUUUGUUGGGAAAGAAAUCCAUCUGGUUAAUACCCGGGUGGGAUGACGGUACCCAAAGAAUAAGCACCGGCUAACUUCGUGCCAGCAGCCGCCGUAA